UGUUUCCGUAGGUGAACCUGCGGAGGG
rnacentral:rRNA from 1 species